rnacentral:rRNA from 1 species
GAUAAACGCUGGCGGCGCACAUAAGACAUGCAAGUUGAACGGACUUAAUCGAAAUAUUUAUAUUUUGAAGCGGUUAGUGGCAGACUGGUGAGUAACGCGUAAGGAACCUGCCUAUUAGAGGGGAAUAACAGUGAGAAAUCAUUGCUAAUACCGCAUAUGCCAUAGAUAUCACAUGAUAACAGUGGGAAAGGAGCAAUCCGCUAAUAGAUGGCCUUGCGUCUGAUUAGAUAGUUGGUGGGGUAACGGCCUACCAAGUCGACGAUCAGUAGCCGGACUGAGAGGUUGAACGGCCACAUUGGGACUGAGAUACGGCCCAGACUCCUACGGGAGGCAGCAGUCGGGAAUAUUGCGCAAUGGAGGAAACUCUGACGCAGUGACGCCGCGUAUAGGAAGAAGGUUUUCGGAUUGUAAACUAUUGUCGUUAGGGAAGAGAAAGAACAGUACCUAAGGAGGAAGCUCCGGCUAACUACGUG